rfam:Haloplasma contractile SSD-17B Contig18, whole genome shotgun sequence.
CGAAUCCUACCUAGUAAAGUCUAACCAACAACUAGUACUUAGUCUUGGGGCCGAAACAGCAAUGUUAGCUAUAAGCGUAGACAAGACAAAGGAACAUUAAAGGAGUAGACUAAAGUCGUUAGCCUCGAAAGGCCGAUGAUGUUGGAGAAACAGAAGACAACAUUAAAAAUAUCACAUUAACUUUCCCGGGGCAGUAAGAUCU